rnacentral:tRNA from 1 species
UGGUUUAGAGGGUAAAGCAUCUGCCUGCAAUGCAGGAGACCGGGGUUUGAUCCCUG